rnacentral:lncRNA from 1 species
AAACACCGAGCUCCCCCUGAGCCGCUCGGGAACAGGGAGGGUUCUGCUACCCUGAGGGGCCCUCCCCGCGGGGCAGAGGGUGGGGGGAAGUCACGACAUGUACUUCUGACUCUAUGCUUGCCUUGAGGAACAAUGGCAUGACACAGGGAUGUGGACGUUUUUCAACCAGAUGCUUCGGUACAGCAGUGUCGGCACACAAGGAGUGUUCCACUGACUGACCUCUUUUUGUUUUCAAAUGAAGAGGAGCCAAGAAUAGGACGGCUUGGGAAGCCCAUCCUCGCCUAUGGCCAAGGGUUUCUCGUUUCUAGAAGAUGAAAGAUGUGAUGACUUAGGAAAAACUAGAAUCUGAGUAACUGUGGUGGGCACUGGGCCAGAGGUAGGCAUACACCUUGCCAUCCACAAGAGAAAGUGUGCUGUUCGAGAUGUGAGUCUUCAGAUGUUCCCGCCGCCAUAUCUGACAGCUGCUGCCAAGAUUCCCUGGUGCGAUGGACUCUUAUACCUCUACAACCAGAAGCCCAAGUAAACUCUUCUAUAAGUUGAAUGAAUCAUGCUU